GCUCCGCCCAGGAGGUCAAAAAGUACUUUGAGCUGGAGCCGCUGGCGCGCGGACAGCGCUGGAUCCUGCAGCCCUGCUCGCUGGGCGACGUGGCGGCGCUGAAGGACAGCUUCUCCCGGCUCAUCCAGCUGCUGGAGGAGAAGGACCAGGAGGCUGCGAGGAUGUGAGCCUGGCGAGGAGCGGUUCCCGGGCCUUGCGCCUCGUGCUAGUUCUCAUUUCACAUUGUUUGGGGUAAGCCGUCCUCGUAGUUCGGCGUCUGUUUCCCUGUUAUCUCAGACUCAUCUCUCCGCCCCAGAGAAUAUUCCGAACGUCCGUCGACGACCGUCGGCAUGAACGUCAAGUACACACUACUGAGAGACUCGGUUCUCUGUUUACCACUAACCGUCUCCGCCGCGUCUCUCCUGCCCCACGCGCCCCGCCUAUGCCGCGGUGACGGAGCACAGGGCUCGUGGGCACCGUCCUCGGAAGGAUCCGGGAGACUGGGAGCCCUGCCUCCGCCCCCCUGUUUGGGGCGCAGUGUUCUGUGACUGGGCUCCCCAGAGUAUGUGUCUCAUUUCACCAUCUCUCGGGGGGUAUGUUAUGUUAUGUUAUGUUAUUUUUUAGUUUUUUGUAUACUGGCCUGAUAGAUUAUGGGAGGAAAAUGAGCACCAGAAACUUCAAGUAACCCGCAUCAGGACGGACCGUCCGCCGCGGGAAAGCGACUGAGGAUUUAGGGACAAGACGCAUAGUUUCCGUCCCUGCGUCUGAAGUCCCCGCUCCCCGUUCCGAGACGCAUUCCGGGACACCGAGGCACAGCGCUCGCGUCCGAUUCCUGCGUCAGCGAGUCCUCGGCGUUUUUUUAACGGAAAGGUUGUCCUGUACAAAGCCGAGCUGCAACUAACUAUCGGGGUCUUUUUCUAAAAAUCUUGUGUCUGAUUAAAAUAGAAAAAAAUAAUUUUUUAAAAUAACAGGUAACAUUUUUAACAGCCACCCAACAGGCUUGUCUGUGCCGACAGUGGUGUGAGCGGCGUGGAUUUGACUGACGAGAAUCACGUGUCCAUCCAGCCGUCACGCGCUCACGUAGUGUAGUGGGGCCUGCAGUGUCCCCGUGCAGUGAAAAGGCGUGUCGGUAUUUCCCGUGUAAACCUCGAUUUUCCGGGGUCUCCAUGUGCCCCUAACAGUGCGCAGGGGCUGUGGCAAGUACACAACUCUAGCGCCCAGUCUUUGCAACGAGCGUUUUGUUUCGUUUCCCGGACAUGGUAAAGUUGCAUAGAGAUGAAUGCACAGUUUUCCUGAAGCUUGCCACCUUUGGCCUUUUCUAAAUCAGGAGUAAUCGGGGCUAUUAAGGUUUGUAGUUGAAAUAUGCUUGGGCACAUUUUGUAGAUUUUUGACCACUUGCGAUUCUAAGCGGCCCAGUGACAGAAACUGCCCCUCCCCUGAGCACUGGAAGCAUGUCUGGGGUUUUUAGGGCCGUGGCUGAGCCCCAAACACCGCAGCCCGCGCUGUCACAGCCGCACUGCCACGGCGCCACGGCGCCGUCACGCCCUGGAAGGUGUGGCGUUGAACCGCAGCUUUUGUGGUUGCACCUUGUGGGCGGGUUUUAAUGAAAUCAUUACCUUUGAGACAUCAAACAUCAUCUUGAAGCUUUUUAUUUUUUUUAAUUGAAUGGAUCCAGAAGAUUCAUGUUCACGUUUGUCUGCGGCAACUUGGGUGUCUUGACACUGUAGCCGCGAGCAGCACAGCACCAUCACCCGAUGCCCAGGCCCCGUCCCCCUGAUUCUGUCCUGUGUGCUCAUCCUCCGUGACAAAUAAAUGAUGAUCCGGC